rnacentral:rRNA from 1 species
GUGGAAGUAGACUUACAACAAUGGCUUUAGUGGCGGACUGGUGAGUAACGCGUAAGGAACCUGCCUUUUAGAGGGGAAUAACAAUGAGAAAUCAUUGCUAGUACCGCAUAUGCCGAGAGAAUCACAUGGUACAAUCGGGAAAGGAGCAAUCCGCUAAAAGAUGGCCUUGCGUCUGAUUAGAUAGUUGGUGGGGUAACGGCCUACCAAGUCGACGAUCAGUAGCCGGACUGAGAGGUUGAACGGCCACAUUGGGACUGAGAUACGGCCCAGACUCCUACGGGAGGCAGCAGUCGGGAAUAUUGCGCAAUGGAGGAAACUCUGACGCAGUGACGCCGCGUAUAGGAAGAAGGUUUUCGGAUUGUAAACUAUUGUCGUUAGGGAAGAGAAAGGACAGUACCUAAGGAGGAAGCUCCGGCUAACUACGUGCCAGCAGCCGCGGUAAUACGUAGGGAGCGAGCGUUAUCCGGAAUUAUUGGGUGUAAAGGGUGCGUAGACGGGAAGAUAAGUUAGUUGUGAAAUCCCUCGGCUUAACUGAGGAACUGCAACUAAAACUGUUUUUCUUGA